GAGUUUGAUCCUGGCUCAGAGCGAACGCUGGCGGCGUACUUAACACAUGCAAGUCGAACGGGGAUCAUUGUGUGAGCAAUCAUGUGAUGGUCCUAGUGGCGCACGGGUGAGUAACACGUGGGUAACCUGCCCUCGAGACCGGGAUACCCCUUCGAAAGGGGGGCUAAUACCGGAUACGUUCCCUGGGUCGAAAGAUCUGAGGAAGAAAGGUGGCGCAAGCUGCCGCUCUUGGAGGGGCUCGCGGCCUAUCAGCUAGUUGGCGGGGUAACGGCCCACCAAGGCUAUGACGGGUAGCUGGUCUGAGAGGACGACCAGCCACACGGGGACUGAGACACGGCCCCGACUCCUACGGGAGGCAGCAGUGGGGAAUUUUCCGCAAUGGGCGAAAGCCUGAC
rnacentral:rRNA from 1 species